AAAAAUUAUAAUCAUGAUGUAAUUUUUAAGAAAGUACCCAAUCCAUUUUCAGAUAAUGAUGUAAGAUCUAUAAUCAACAGGAUUAGCUCCAGUUCACACUCCAGACCAGACGGUGGCGGUAUUGCACACUUUCAUUUAAAAAAAAAACGCCAUAAAGAGAAGAAAAAACUUGAACGCAGGGAAGAUAACAGGCGCUGUUCAAAUUCGCCAUUUUUACUCGCAUAAUAUUUCCUUAAAAGUAGAGAGGGUCUUGACAAUAGUUACUAAUUUUGGUAAAUUCAAGCUGGUGACGUCCUAGUCCGAGUUAGACGACAACACAACGGGACAACAACCGAUGGCAAUGAAAUGUGUGUCACAAAAGGAGCCCGGAGGGACGAAGGCUGCUAACGUGUUGCUAGCUAGUGGGCCCUGUGAUGGACUGGUGACCUGUCCAGGAUGAGCCCUGCCUCUCAUCUGAUGACUGCUAGAGAUGAGCACCACCAGCCCCCUUCACUACCCUGCAAAGAUUAGUGUGUUCAGAUCAUGGAUGGAAAGCUUUUAAGGCAAAGAAGACACCCAGAAAUGUUUUUCCACCCGAGGCAUUCGGUCCCAAUCAUCAUCACUUCUGAUGAUGCCACAUACAUAGCGAGUCCACAACGUCUUAAAAUUGUAAGUAUUAUUUUUUUAUUUGCCAUUUUUGUGUACUCUUUAAAAUACAAAUGCUUUCUCUGUUUAAUUGUUCUAUUGUUAUUUUUUGUAGGUUUCCGUAAAGUGCAGUGAAUAGGAAUGUUCUGUCGUUGAUCUUCACUGUUUUUAGGAAGGAGAAAUGUCAGUUUGUCUGCAGUAAUACUGGA